rnacentral:tRNA from 1 species
GGAAAUGUGCCUGAAUCUCUAAAGGGUCACUGUGAUAAAGUGAACAUGGAGGUGCAUCAGUCCUCCCAUUUCCU